GGAAAUGAUAUGUACACACUCAAGAGUUGGGGCCUAAUGAAGGAGACCACAUUGCUUUGUACAUUUCUCUUAAAUUUCUACAGUCCAAAAUAUAAAAAUAAUAGAUAAAAAUUGGUGAAUAUUAUUUAUUUAUUAUUAUAUUUAUCAAAUAUUUAAGAUUUAGGUAAUUAAUAGUAUGAUUAGGGAAACAUUUCAAGGAAUCAAACAACUCCCAAAAUAACCC
rnacentral:lncRNA from 1 species